AGCGAACGCUGGCGGCAGGCUUAACACAUGCGAGUCGAACGCAUCCUUCGGGGUGAGUGGCAGACGGGUGAGUAACACGUGGGAACGUACCCUUCGAUCUGGGAUAACUUCGGGAAACUGGAGCUAAUACCGGAUACGCCCUUUUGGGGAAAGGUUUACUGUCGAAGGAUCGGCCCGCGUCUGAUUAGCUAGUUGGUGGGGUAACGGCCUACCAAGGCGACGAUCAGUAGCUGGUCUGAGAGGAUGAUCAGCCACACUGGGACUGAGACACGGCCCAGACUCCUACGGGAGGCAGCAGUGGGGAAUAUUGGACAAUGGGCGCAAGCCUGAUCCAGCCAUGCCGCGUGAGUGAUGAAGGCCUUAGGGUUGUAAAGCUCUUUUGUCCGGGACGAUAAUGGCGGUACCGGAAGAAUAAGCCCCGGCUAACUUCGUG
rnacentral:rRNA from 1 species